rnacentral:rRNA from 1 species
UACGUAGGACGCAAGCGUUGUCCGGAAUUAUUGGGCGUAAAGAGCUCGUAGGCGGUUUGUCGCGUCUGUCGUGAAAGCUUGGGGCUUAACCCCAAGUCUGCGGUGGAUACGGGCAGACUAGAGGCAGGUAGGGGAGAACGGAAUUCCCGGUGUAGUGGUGGAAUGCGUAGAUAUCGGGAGGAACACCAGUGGCGAAGGCGGUUGCCUGGAGCUUUGCUGACGCUGAGGCGCGAAAGCGUGGGGAGCGAUCCGG